CUCAGGGAGCAGAAGGAUUUUUCUGGGAACUGAACAGGGAGGAGGAGCCCGGAAAAGCCACAGAGGCAGACGCUCGGGUUGUCUGUGUUCGGUGCCUGAUGUCCAAGCAGGGCUCCAAGCUGCCUGGGAGGAAGCUCUCGGCACUAGAAGAAGAAAAACGAAGAAGAAAAACGCUGCAAUAACAGUGACCUAAGCUUCUCCCUUGACUCGUCUUGGUUUAGCAAAUCCAUAGAACACUUUGGGCUGCAAACGACUUGAAUGCUUGCCCAGAAUGGCAGGCAUGUACGGUUUCCAGAAAAGGCUUCCAGAAAGAUGGAGGGGGUCUGAAUUGAUGCCCAUUUCUGCAGAAAGCUGACCAUGUGACACCAGGACAAUGAUUAUAUUAUAUAUUUCCAACAGAUACACGCUGGCUUUAAAUGUUCUUCUUUAUCCACGGAAUACUUAUAAACUAGAGAAGUUGGGAAUCAGGCUAAGCACAAGAAAACUGAGUUUGCAUCCAUGUAAAAACCUGGGCGUGGUGUGUACCUUUGACAAUCCCAGAACUGGGGAGACAGACACAGGAGGAUUUCAGGGGCUCAGACACGGAAGGAUUCUUGGGGAUCGGGACUCCAGCCAGCACCGCUGAGUCAGCAAAUUCUAACUGCAAGUACCUUUCUCAAAAAACAAAUGGAACACAAGAUCUAUCUUUCCACAUUUCCCUUCCCCACACACAUGCAUAUCCCCACACAUACUAUAGAAGACUGAGAGGGAAUAAUAUAAUAAAACUGCAGAGUUUGCUAUUUUGCUACAAGUUGAGGAUUUUUUAAAAAUAAAGAUAUAUAUUGGA